AGACAUUUUCACUUUAUUGUGAAGCCCAGCAGUGAGUGAUUUAUUUGAUUCUAUAUCUCUACAUUGUCAUUAUAUGAUGCAAUAUGUUUUUAAAAUACAGCAAAUUAAGUUACUCUCAAAAAAAAGAAAAAAAGGCUCAAUACAGAAUACUCCACAGAACAUUAUACCAAGUUAGAGAGACCACUAAAAUGUUGAAGAUCAGACUCGUUUUUAAAGGACGUUCUGAUUGGUCAUAUGCGUACAUGAUUGUUUUCUAUGCGUUUUCGUGUACAUUUCAACUCUAAAGUCAAAUACAGCCCAUUAAACAUGGACAUCACACAAAAAUACAUUGCACAUUUUUGUAAGACCUAACAGAUUUAACAGACUGUCUACGUGAAAAAGAGUGAACAACUGACACUUUCCACCAGCAUUUCUAAUUAAAGUCCAAUGAAGUUCUGGUGAAAGUCCAGUAAUGCAGUAACGAUGCCGAUUGCAACACACUGACGGAAGAACUUCCAUUUAAGGAUUAUUUAUGAAUCUCGAAAGUCAUUCGAGAGAGGUUUCUGUAAAUACCGGCUAAGCACAGUGGUUCACACAUCACAAGGAGUCCAAAGAAAUAUCAGAAAGCAUCAGUGUCAAGCAUCAGAUCACACUGAGCAAGGCAUUGACAUUUGCUCUGAUAAUUAUCGACGAAUAUUACAAUAGCGAAAACUCUGCUCCUCAAGUAAAAACUAAGCAACAUGUGCACUUGUUCUGAAUUCAGAUGUAUUGAUUCAAAUAUUUACUUCUACACGACAUGAAAGCCCUCGGAAGGGAAGUGAACAUCAAUCGUAGGGCUUCAUACACAGUCACGAUACUUACAAAGUCUCAGCUUCUUUAAGUUUUCAAUAGGGUGAAUGAGAUUACACAGCAAUUAUACAGCAUUUUGCUUCACAUAUUUGACAGAGGUGGGUUUGUCAUGCAAAUGGGCUGCGGCAACACUGAAAGAAGCUGAUUGGCCGCUUGAACGGCGGUUCCAAUCAGAAA